UACAGAGGGUGCAAGCGUUAAUCGGAGUUACUGGGCGUAAAGGGCGCGUAGGUUGUGGUGUAAGUGAGUUGUGAAAUACCUGGGCUUAACCUAGGCAUGGCGACUCAAACUGCACGACUGGAGUACUGUAGAGGGUAGUGGAAUUUCCGGUGUAGCGGUGAAAUGCGUAGAGAUCGGAAGGAACACCAGUGGCGAAGGCGGCUACCUGGACAGAUACUGACACUGAAGCGCGAGAGCGUGGGUAGCAAACAGG
rnacentral:rRNA from 1 species